rnacentral:rRNA from 1 species
GUCGAGAAUCAUUCACAAUGGGGGAAACCCUGAUGGUGUGACGCCGCGUGGAGGAUGAAGGUCUUCGGAUUGUAAACUCCUGUCAUGUGGGAGUAAAGCCGGGUGUUAAAUGCAUGCCGGUCUGAGAGUACCACAAGAGGAAGGGACGGCUAACUCUGUGCCAGCAGCCGCGGUAAUACAGAGGUCCCAAGCGUUGUUCGGAAUCACUGGGCGUAAAGGGUGCGUAGGCGGCGCGGAAAGUCAGGGGUGAAAUCCCGGAGCUCAACUCCGGAACUGCCUUUGAUACUCCCGCGCUUGAGAACUGGAGGGGAGACCGGAAUUCACGGUGGAGCAGUGAAAUGCGUGGAUAUCGUGAGGAACACUAGUGGCGAAGGCGGGUCUCUGGACAGUAUCUGACGCUGAGGCACGAAGGCCAGGGGAGCGAACGGGAUUAGAUACCCUGGUAGUCC